rnacentral:rRNA from 1 species
UACGUAGGGGGCAAGCGUUGUCCGGAUUUAUUGGGCGUAAAGAGCGUGUAGGCGGUUAGGUAGGUCCGUUGUGAAAACUCGAGGCUCAACCUCGAGACGCCGAUGGAAACCAUCUAACUAGAGUCCGGAAGAGGAGACUGGAAUUUACGGUGUAGCGGUGAAAUGCGUAGAUAUCAGGAGGAACACCGAUGGCGAAGGCAGAUCUCUGGGCCGUUACUGACGCUGAGGAGCGAAAGCGUGGGGAGCGAACAGG